UACAGAGGGUGCAAGCGUUAAUCGGAAUUACUGGGCGUAAAGCGUGCGCAGGCGGUUGUGCAAGACAGAUGUGAAAUCCCCGGGCUCAACCUGGGAAUUGCAUUUGUGACUGCACGGCUAGAGUGUGUCAGAGGGGGUAGAAUCCACGUGUAGCAGUGAAAUGCGUAGAGAUGUGGAGGAAUACCGAUGGCGAAGGCAGCCCCUGGAUAACACUGACGCUCAUGGCACGAAAGCGUGGGAGCAAACAGG
rnacentral:rRNA from 1 species